CAUUAACAGGUGCACCCAACCCUUUGCCACAAACACGUGCACCCCCCCUCCCGAGAAGAAACAUCUAUGGAGCUGGAGUGAGGGCCACAUCUCCCAGCAGGAGGUUCAGGCUGUGGGGACCCCAUCUGGCUUGGUCACCAGUGAGCACCCGGCACUGCGCCUGACGUGGACAGAAACACUGAGAUACAUUUCUGAAACAGAACAAGAGGGUCCCUCCCUCCGGAAGGCACAGGCUGGCAGGGGGCAGAGGUGAGCACAGGGGAUCUGAGGAAGCAAAGCCAGACCUCGGCCGGAGGGGGCGCAGCCAAGGCGGCAGGGAAAGGGCGGCACACAUAACCCCCAGGGCGGCCUUCCGAGGGGGAGACCCGAGGGGCGGAGGGCAAGGGGCGGCCUCGGUGACCCCUCUCCUGGACGACAAGGCUGCUCCAGCCAGAGCAGCGCAGCUGGGGCCCAGGCACCCAGGGGGCCCUUCCGCCUUCCGGCCCCCGGCCCCCCGCGGCCUCCAGCCGGGAGGUCUCGCUCCGCGCUGGCAGAAACCCUUCCAAAAACCUUCCGGGGAGGCUGCCCCUCCCCGGGUGCAGACGGGAAGCUGAGGCCUGGUCAGGAGGGCAGCGGACCAGGGCGGCCUGCGGGGACCCGCUCCCUCCUCCCGGGGUGGCCCUCGGGCUGCGCCGCUGCUGCCCGAGAGGAACGGACGCCCGCCUUCCUCACCCCGGGCCUCAGCCAUGAGGAAACGGAGGGGACAGGAAACCAAUGACCACUCCUCACACGGGGCUGCACAAAUAGGAGGCCGCUCGGCACACCUGCCGGCCCACGCAGCCUCCCAGCCUCGGGGGCGUCGGGAGCCUCCCCUGCAGCCCAGAACCCCAGAGGCCGCCCUCCCUGCCCGGCCGGCCUCCCAGGACCCGGACAGAUGCUCCGACGGACCCGCCCAGCCAGCGUGGUUAGGCUGCUGGCUCACGGUGACACCCACAGCCACACGGGACCCGGGACGGGCCUCAGGAGAAGGAGCACUCUGACCCCAUAAGCACAGGCCCGCCGGGGCCCUGGAGACACUCGGUGUCCUUACGAGCCAGGGGACACUGGCUCCCCACCUGUCACCCACGGGGGACAAAGCAGGGGGGACUGUCCCGCCCCUCGAGAAGCAGGUGGCCUGGGGUCCGGCGCUGCAGACGUCCCCAGCCACCCUCCUCCAAGGGCAGAGGCAGCGCUGAUGAGGCCCGAGAACAAACUACAGGCCUAACGAAGAGCACCAGCUUUCCGCGGGAGGACCGAGGCCUCGGGGGCUGCUGUCCGCCCUCUGGCCCUCUGGUCGGGGCCAGGGCACCCCCGAGCCUCCAGGGUUCAUGCAGUAUUUGUUCUGAAAAGGAGCAGACACUGUGAACGGCUGCCUGCGGGUCCCCAGCUGCGGAAGAGUGGCCCACAGGACGAGAUGGGAGAAGGGGCCCCAAGGGCACCUCGGGAACCAUCUUCAGGGCCCACGUGCCACACGCCUCGCCCGACGCGGGUCCGACGCUGCCCGGGCCCCAGAGGAGGACGUGGGCCCCGAGGCUCCAUCACCCCGCCCCGAAGACCUCAUCGCGUUCUCCCGUUUCAAAGCUUCGCCCUCAACCUCAGGACCGGGUGGACACGCCCAGAUGUCUUCCUGCCAGCAACACCUGCCGGUCCCCGCCAGGCCCCGGAGCCCCCCAGGGCCCGAGCUCUGCUCCGUCCUAACUAGCUGGCAGGCUCCGCUGUCCAGACUCCCGGUCCUGUGUGCCCGCUGCCUUCCACUUUGGCCAGCAGAGCCUGCCCAAGCCAAGGACACGAAAACAGGACCACUUGAGCCCUUCCGGCUCGUCACUCAAGCCUGGGGACCUGGGGUCGCUCACAAACGUCCAGUCCUUUAAGAACCUCCAGGCCAGAUGGCUCGGGGAAGGGGACUGUCAAAGCAAGGAAAAAUAAACAGGUCCUAAAAAAAAAAAAAUCCCCCAAAAAAAAAAAAAAAAAAAAAAUACGAGGCCUUAUUUUCCUAAGUUACUUACUGACAACCAAAGGAACAUCAGCAGCCAGAAAUGCCCUCGGAAAUCUAGUCCAAUCACCAGGUAUUAAUGACUACCUCACAAGCUACGGUAAAUGACGCACACACGUUUGUACAAUUCUGUUACAACUUAAAAUAUUUCUGGGCAGAGACAACAAAAUGAUUUCAAGUUCAGACUUUCUAUUCAAGACACACAAAUCUUUCUGCACCCACCCAGAGAGCUGGGCCAGCAGCCAGAGGACAGGCAGUCUUUUCCCUGGAUGGGGGGACCAGGGCUCACGACCACACCUCUCUACUCCCUGAAAAGCCUAUUUUGAAACUGCAGUAAUAAUUACUUUUAUUAAGAAUAAGGAGUUCCCUGGUGGCUCAGAGUUAAGGAUCUGGCAUUGUCGCUGCUGUGGAUUGGGUUACUGCUGUGCUGUGAGCUCAGUCCCUGGCUCAGGAACUUCCA
rnacentral:lncRNA from 1 species